rnacentral:rRNA from 1 species
GAUGAACGCUGGCGGCGUGCCUAAUACAUGCAAGUCGAACGCACAGCGAAAGGUGCUUGCACCUUUCAAGUGAGUGGCGAACGGGUGAGUAACACGUGGAUAACCUACCUCAAGGUUGGGGAUAACGUUUGGAAACAGAUGCUAAUACCGAAUAAAACUUCGUAUCGCAUGAUACAAGGUUAAAGGCGCUACGGCGUCACCUAGAGAUGGAUCCGCGGUGCAUUAGAGUUGGUGGGUAAGGCCUACCAAGACAAUGAUGCAUGGCCGAGUUGAGAGACUGAUCGGCGCAUUGGGACUGAGACACGGCCCAAACUCCUACGGGAGGCCGCAGUAGGGAAUCUUCCACAAUGGGCGAAAGCCUGAUGGAGCAACGCCGCGUGUGUGAU